AGAGACAGCAGCGCCGCGGUAAUACAGAGGGUGCAAGCGUUAAUCGGAAUUACUGGGCGUAAAGCGCGCGUAGGUGGUUUGUUAAGUUGGAUGUGAAAUCCCCGGGCUCAACCUGGGAACUGCAUUCAAAACUGACUGACUAGAGUAUGGUAGAGGGUGGUGGAAUUUCCUGUGUAGCGGUGAAAUGCGUAGAUAUAGGAAGGAACACCAGUGGCGAAGGCGACCACCUGGACUAAUACUGACACUGAGGUGCGAAAGCGUGGGGAGCAAACAGGAUUAGAUACCCGUGUAGUCCCUGUCUCUUAUACA
rnacentral:rRNA from 1 species